GACGAACGCUGGCGGCGUGCUUAACACAUGCAAGUCGAACGGAAAGGCCCCUUUGGGGGUACUCGAGUGGCGAACGGGUGAGUAACACGUGUGUAACCUGCCCUUGACUUCGGGAUAACUUCAGGAAACUGGGGCUAAUACCGGAUAGGAAUCCUUGCUGCAUGGUGGGGGUUGGAAAGCUUCGGCGGUUUUGGAUGGACUCGCGGCUUAUCAGCUUGUUGGUGGGGUAGUGGCUUACCAAGGCUGUGACGGGUAGCCGGCCUGAGAGGGCGACCGGCCACAUUGGGACUGAGAGACGGCCCAGACGCCGACGGGAGGCAGCAGUGGGGAAUAUUGCACAAGGGGCGGAAGCCUGAUGCAGCAACGCCGCGGGCGGGAGGACGGCCUUCGGGUUGUAAACCGCUUUCAGCAGGGGCGAAGCUUGUGGUGACGGUACCUGCAGAAGAAGCACCGGCUAACUACGUG
rnacentral:rRNA from 1 species